UGGCGAUAUCUCUCCAGGCCGCGCCGGCGGUGGCGAACCCAUCUGGCCCCGCUGCUAAGCAUCCCGCCAAAUUCACCCGCUGAGCCUCUAUCUCCACGCGGGCGCAGCGAUCGCCGCCAUAGGAUGCCGCUGUCCAAUAGGAAGCGGAAGACGAGGUCGGCCAAGUGCUCGCCGUCGGCUUCGGCCGCCGUCGCCCCGCGAGAACCAGCCGCACAGAACUCCUCUAGGUAAUUCUGUAUGACCCUCGCGCCCGGAUUGUUGGCCUUUUCUUCGGGAACUUGCUGUUUGAGGUUUUGAGCAUCAGUAGUCUCCAUACAUCAAUUUUUCCGAGAUAUUCGUUGCUGAAGCAUUGUUUGAAGGCCUCAGUCUUUCAGAUGCACCUCUGCUUUGCCUGCUCUGUGGUGAGAUGAACCUGGAAGCUACAGCAGCAUCCAUUCUUGUCUAUACAUGGUUUACGACAUCAUCCUCUGACAGUGCUGACCCCAAGUAUCUACCAAUCAAGAAGAGCAGGGAUCUACUGGCAGUUUCACCUGUGGUUUCAGAGAGCAUUGUCUUCACUGCGGUAACCUAUGAUUGCAACCAACAGAGCGUGAUGGAUCCUUCGAGAUAAUUUAAGUAUACUCGCAGUGUGUUCUAACUUCGAACGAACCGGAAUCUAUGGUUUUCGAUUACUCUGGUGACCUAUGCCAGCCUUCAAAAUAUAAUUUUAGGACAUUCACGCGUGAUGCAGCCGACCAAGUCAUACGUCGUGACGUGGCCAGGCAUAGCCGUCGCGCGAGGAAGAUGAGACGGAAGCAAGGUCUCAUUCAUCCAUCACGUAAGCAAGGCGGCAGGAGGAAACCGCAAAGUCAUCGGGGUCAUUACUGGGCUGGCAGCAGCGGCAUGGUCGAUCAACUGAAGCCUGAAGCAGUGAAGCGGUCAAUCGGUGUGGGCAGAAUAUAAAGCAGCAUCAGCGAUUCAGCGGCGUCAGAAAUUCAGAGCUGGCGAGCGCGACGGAGGGUUCAUUCGCGCGCCGAUCCAAUCAGGAUUCAGGUCCAUCGCUUUUUCUUCUUGUUUUUUUUUCUCUUUCGGAUGAGAAGGUCCAACGCUUUGACAAAAGGCAGCGGAUUCUAGACGGGCGGGUGCGGCAGCACACCGCGAAGGGAGGUGGUGGCCGCCCUUGGUCAAGCUGAGCCACUCCUGAGCUGCAAGUCUGGAAUAUGAAAUGGUAACUCUCGGGCA